GGCGGACGGGUGAGUAACGCGUAAGAACUUGCCCUUUAGACUGGGAUAACAGAGGGAAACUUCUGAUAAUACUGGAUAAGUUAGUAUAUCGCAUGAUAUGCAAAUGAAAGCUACGGCACUAAAGGAGAGCUUUGCGUCCUAUUAGCUAGUUGGUAAGGUAAGAGCUUACCAAGGCGAUGAUAGGUAGCCGGCCUGAGAGGGUGGACGGCCACAAGGGGACUGAGAUACGGCCCUUACUCCUACGGGAGGCAGCAGGU
rnacentral:rRNA from 1 species